rnacentral:lncRNA from 1 species
CUGUAAGUGUGUAUUACAUCUAAUAGAGCUGUUUUAAUGAAGACGGGUGAGCAUCUGUCUCUCCAUAAACGAUCUUUGUUGUGCGACGUAAUGUCGUGAGACCUUCGAACAGACUCAACUUAAAGCAUAGAGGCCUGUAUCUCAGCAGCGCAUUGGUCAAGCUGGGUGAUUGACACGUCUGUAGAACCGUCAGAGCCAGUGGAAUCGACGGGGAGCGUCAAAGUCCCUCCCAAGGACACCGUUCGCUAUUUGUGAGGGGGCGAACCCACUAUGACACCUUUUUUCCCCGACGCCAUUUGACUUGCGACUUCCGCAUGUGUAGUCGAAGUAGGACGGACCAGGCGGAUUAACAUCUUGAGAUGACGAGGCGGUCUUUGUGCUAAGCUAACGGGCAUUGGAUUUAUGGAUCAAAACACAACUUUUCCUGCAAAUACUUUGACGGAGAGGGUGACAUGCAGGCCUGUCAAGGAUAUUCCAAAGGAAACCCGCAUGUGCCAGGAUUUAAUCAGGAGUUGGUUGCGAGCACUUUCCCCUGGACGGCAGCUUAUCAGCAGAGUUUAGCAUCGUGGCAAAGGGAAACGGGGCGGAAGCUUCCACGCUAAAUGAGAACCAGACGUUCAGCAGACCCAAUCAAGCCGCCCCUCCGCCGAACGAGCCGCAUUGUGUGAUGGGUAAACAGCGAGUCUGGAUGUUGCCUGCGGGGAUCGAGCCCCGUGACAAACCGAUGGACACACGGAACCGAGUACGAGUGCACGUGGAAACACACAAACACACUGUCAAAGUCUGGCCUCCAUUAGAGAGCCAUUCAGUGGAGUUUGGGCGAGGGGGUCAAAGACGCAUCUGCAGCAGGGCUGCCAGGACACGUCGGCAGGAAUCACAAAUCCAGCUUCAGUAA